rnacentral:lncRNA from 1 species
AUGAACAAAGCUAAUGACGCAUAUAACCAAUUAAUUGAUUACAAGACAUGUACACUAACAGUGAUAAAUCAACUAACAUGAGGAAGAAAAUUUUCCACCAUUGGAUAACUAUUCACACGCCUCCAAAGCUUCGUGACUCCUUCCACACACUUCCAUGUGCAAGGCUUGCGCUUGACAAGUUUGAAAGUUAAUAUUUUUUAAUUAUUAUAGAAGAACAAUUUACUUUGUACCUAUUUGAUUGCAAAGAAAACACCCAUAUCAAAAUCUAAA